rnacentral:rRNA from 1 species
CCUACGGGAGGCAGCAGUAGGGAAUAUUGCUCAAUGGGGGAAACCCUGAAGCAGCAACGCCGCGUGGAGGAUGAAGGUUUUAGGAUUGUAAACUCCUUUUGUUAGAGAAGAUUAUGACGGUAUCUAACGAAUAAGCACCGGCUAACUCCGUGCCAGCAGCCGUGGUAAUACGGAGGGUGCAAGCGUUAUUCGGAAUCACUGGGCGUAAAGCGUGCGUAGGCGGGGUAAUAAGUCAGAUGUGAAAUCCUGUAGCUUAACUACAGAACUGCAUUUGAAACUGUUACUCUGGAGUGUGGGGAAGGUAGGUGGAAUUCUUGGUGUAGGGGUAAAAUCCGUAGAGAUCAAGAGGAAUACUCAUUGCGAAGGCGGCCUGCUGAAACGUUACUGACGCUGAUGCACGAAGGCGUGGGGAGCGAACAGGAUUAGAUACCCUAGUAGUC